UACUUGUUGUGAGCAAAUCGAAUAAAUUAGACAAAUACCCAAGAAAAUUUUCCCAUAUCUAAUUAUACACAAAUAAAUCACUAUUUCAUUACACAAAUUGUUUUUCAACUACAACCAUUCCAUAAGAAAUACACCUAAAAUUCUAAUGUAGUAAAAUUUAAAUCCAAACAUUCAGAUCAUGUCAUCAACGAUUACAUUAAAAUUCAUGGCCAACAUUCAACCAAUAACAGGCCAUAGAUUAACUCAUAUAAGCUGCAAGUAGACUAAAUUUGACAGUACAGGACCUAACCCUCAAAAGUGGAAUAAAAAUGAGCACAUAAGCUUAGGUCUAACACUACUGCUAGCAACAGUUGUGAAACCAUAAAAACCAUACAAACUUCACAAAAAUGUAAACAAUCACUUGUAGCCGAUCCUUAGUAAUUACAUACAAAUCAUGAAUUGAAAAGAAAAGACGAACAAUGGAUUACACAAUAUGGUAUCAAACUUCACUUCAUCAGAAUUUGUAUUUCGAGCUACACAUCAAGUAAUGCCCAUGGAGUUUUGGAGCAUACCUGGUACAACAAAUAAAUAAAUAAAUCUGAGGUUAAAAGGGAUUGAACAGCAGUGACCCAACAACAGCAGUUCGCAGCAAUCAAACCCGAGGAAAUCGACUAAAGACCCAAAGAAACAUAUCAAGCAAAAUCACAAUUUGAACCAAAACAAACCAGAAUACUUAAGAACCUUCUGAUUCAAACCAUUUUCACCUUCAAUUGCUCAAGACUAGCUCAUGAUCAAUAUCAUAAGAACUCCCAAAGUCUUCCUAAUGAAAAGUGAUUUUUAUAUUUUUUAGCCGUCUGAUUUUAGUAUUUCCUUUUCUCUUUUCCCACUUGACUUGCCAGGAAAGUGCACAAUGC
rnacentral:lncRNA from 1 species